UGCACGGCUGCAGCCUCCUCACCCAUAUCCCAAGGAGAAGCAGGGGAGGAGGACGCAGCCAUGUGCU
ensembl:miRNA MIR12258 microRNA mir-12258